rnacentral:rRNA from 1 species
UACGGAGGGUGCAAGCGUUAAUCGGAAUUACUGGGCGUAAAGCGCACGCAGGUGGCUGAGUCAGUCGAUUGUGAAAGCCCCCGGCUCAACUGGGGAGGGUCACGCGAUACUGAUCGACUCGAAGGCAGGAGAGGGAAGUGGAAUUCCCGGUGUAGUGGUGAAAUGCGUAGAUAUCGGGAGGAACACCAGUGGCGAAGGCGACUUCCUGGCCUGUUCUUGACGCUGAGGCGCGAAAGCUAGGGGAGCAAACGGG